AUUGAACGCUGGCGGCAGGCCUAACACAUGCAAGUCGAACGGUAACAGAAAGCAGCUUGCUGCUUUGCUGACGAGUGGCGGACGGGUGAGUAAUGUCUGGGAAACUGCCUGAUGGAGGGGGAUAACUACUGGAAACGGUAGCUAAUACCGCAUAACGUCGCAAGACCAAAGAGGGGGACCUUCGGGCCUCUUGCCAUCGGCUGUGCCCAGAUGGGAUUAGCUAGUAGGUGGGGUAAAGGCUCACCUAGGCGACGAUCCCUAGCUGGUCUGAGAGGAUGACCAGCCACACUGGAACUGAGACACGGUCCAGACUCCUACGGGAGGCAGCAGUGGGGAAUAUUGCACAAUGGGCGCAAGCCUGAUGCAGCCAUGCCGCGUGUAUGAAGAAGGCCUUCGGGUUGUAAAGUACUUUCAGCGGGGAGGAAGGGAGUAAAGUUAAUACCUGUGCUCAUUGACGUUACCCGCAGAAGAAGCACCGGCUAACUCCGUG
rnacentral:rRNA from 1 species